rnacentral:rRNA from 1 species
UACGGAGGGGACUAGCGUUGUUCGGAAUUACUGGGCGUAAAGCGUGCGUAGACGGUUACUUAAGUCGGGUGUGAAAGCCCCGGGCUCAACCUGGGAAUUGCAUUCGAGACUGAAUAGCUAGGGUACGGUAGAGGGAAGUGGAAUUUCCGGUGUAGCGGUGAAAUGCGUAGAUAUCGGAAGGAACAUCAGUGGCGAAAGCGACUUCCUGGACCAGUACCGACGUUCAGGCACGAAAGCGUGGGGAGCAAACAGG